rnacentral:lncRNA from 1 species
UCAGUUUCCCAAACAUUCCGAUCUUAAGACUUGCAUGGGGUGAUUAGGAAGACUGCUCCUUCAGAACCACUGUACCAGAAUCUUCAGGCAGCCCUAGAAAUCUGAAACCAGAAACGUGAUAGUCCCUAAAUACAAGCUGACCGGGCAAAGAAAGAUCGGCAUACGAGGUCCUCUUUCAUGUUGCCUUCUUUUGAUAGCUUUUCUCCAAAGUCUGAGGUUUUCAAAGCCGAGUUUUCCCACCCUGAGAAAAGUGAGAGGUGCUUUCCCUGGUGUUUCCUCUCAGGAAGGGCCGUGUGACUGGAGCCGCGAGUUGGGCGCCGUCUCGCCGGGGCUGGAGGUACGCGGGCUUCGGGACACGCACCUAGGCGUCCCUCGGGGUCCCGGCCUCUCUGACCGGGCUCCCCCGGCACCGAUCCGCGGCCGGAGCGUUUAGUCCCGGGGACCCGUCGAGCCCUGAAAGGGCCAUUUCCCCCUGAGGCGAGUCCCCCCAGGCGCCCCGCAGCCUGGCCUCGGGACUGCCCCCACCGACAGUGCGUGCGCGGGGAGAGGUCACUUAAAACUGCAUUUUCGAACAUUAGUGCCCCGGACCCGCACCUUUUUUCCUCCGUCCUUUGAUCUGUGCCGCAGAGGCAAGGGCUGGAACGGCGCCCUCCCCUGGUAGAGGGACGGAGAGACCGCAAAUCUUUCCCCCUGGGAGGUCCGUUAAGUAGAUCCAAGCACCUGGAGGCGGAACCUGUGUGGCCGGCUACAGGGUGGUCCUGUGUAUGUGUUACCGCCUUAUUGUUCCAAAGAACAGUCUUUUUCAAGUGACAGGUAGAAGACGCCCCAAUAACGAGAAGUGACUGACUUGGCCAAGCUUAGAGAUGGGAGUGGAGUCAGGUUCCCUGGUGGCCCCACGAUCUCGCCCACCAUGUCAGCAUGGGCUGCCCGGUGAGCAUAGCUGAGAUGCACCAAGGCCACAUAAGUCACCUACUUUGCCUUGGCUGCCCCAUCUGCAUCUAUCAAAGGAAGCCUUGGACACCCACCAGAGGAGCCAGCAUGAGGGAGUGUAUGCCUUUAUACAAAUUCACUCCAACUUCAGAAAAACGUCCGCAGCUCAUGCUCCCCCUGCCAGAGCAGCAGUGUGAGCAGCUGUGUAGGUUUGGAAGCACCCCAGUCACUUGGGCAUUGAUAUGGUUUGGCUGUAUCCCCACCCAAAUCUCAUCUUGAAUUGUAAGUCCCGCAGUUCCCAGGUGUGUGGGAGGAACCUUGUGGGAGGUGAUUGAAUUAUGGGGGCGGGUCUUUCCUGGGCUGUUCUCGUCAUAGUGAAUGAGUCUCACGAGAUCUGAAGAUUUUAAAAAUGGGAGCGCUUGUUGCACAAGCUCUCUCUUGGCCUACUGCCAUCCGCUUAAGAUGUGACAUGCUCCUCCUUGCUUUACGCCAUGAUUGUGAGGCCUCCCAACCAUGUGGAACUGCAAGUCCAAUAAACCUCUUUCAUUUGUAAA